rnacentral:rRNA from 1 species
AUUGAACGCUGGCGGCAGGCCUAACACAUGCAAGUCGAGCGGAGCGGCGGACGGGUGAGUAAUGCCUAGGAAUCUGCCUGGUCGUGGGGGAUAACGUUCGGAAACGGGCGCUAAUCCCGCAUACUAUCAGAUGAGCCUAGGUCGGAUUAGCUAGUUGGUGGGGUAAAGGCGUACCAAGGCGACGAUCCGUAACUGGUCUGAGAGGAUGAUCAGUCACAGUGGAACGGAGACACGGUCCAGACUCGUACGGGAGGCAGGAGUGGGGAAUAUUGGACAAUGGGCGGAAGCCUGAUCCAGCCAAUCCGCGUGUGUGAAGAAGGUCUUCGGAUUGUAAAGCACUUUAAGUUGGGAGGCGUUACCAGCAGAAUAAGCACCGGCUAACUUCGUGCCAGCAGCCGCGGUAAUAC